AAGUCGUAACAAGGUUUCCGUAGGUGAACCUGCGGAAGGAUCAUUAGUGAAUAUAGCGCAUCUCUUCGGAGAGCGUGACCAUAGCGCAUCUCUUCGGAGAGCGUGACCUCCACUUUCAACUCUGUGCAUUUUUUGGCGAGGGAACGAGACGAAGCGACGCAAGUUGCAGACUCUCGCCUCUUGCGGCUCAUUUUAAACACUAGUUAAAGUAUGUAACGAAAUAUCGAAACAAAAAAAACUUUCAACAACGGAUCUCUUGGCUCUC
rnacentral:misc_RNA from 1 species